rnacentral:rRNA from 1 species
UACGUAGGGGGCUAGCGUUGUCCGGAUUUAUUGGGCGUAAAGAGCGUGUAGGCGGCCAUGUAGGUCCGGUGUGAAAACUCGAGGCUUAACCUCGAGAUGUCAUCGGAAACCAUUUGGCUAGAGUCCGGAAGAGGAGAGUGGAAUUCCUGGUGUAGCGGUGAAAUGCGCAGAUAUCAGGAAGAACACCAAUGGCGAAAGCAGCUCUCUGGGACGGUACUGACGCUGAGACGCGAAAGCGUGGGGAGCGAACAGGAUUAGA